rnacentral:lncRNA from 1 species
UUAAUACAAUAUAAUUAAUAUAGUUUGAAAUAUAAUUUUUUUAAUAAACUCUCUAUUAGAUAAUGAUUUAAAUAGUAGUAAUUCACAUUUAUUAAUAACAAUGUACAUUAAAUAUGGGUAUAUUAGAGAAUAAAAAAAAUAACUAUACCGUCAACAAGAAAAUUAACCUAUAAUUUGGGACGGAUGAGAAGGUAAAAUAAUAAUAAUAAUAAUAAAAUAAAAUUGAAAGAAGCAAACCAGAGGAAGUAAAAUAGUAAAUAGUAAGACAAGAUGUCCUCUUUCCUUUGGUAUCUAUUUCCUCUUUCACCAUUGAGAAUGUGGGUCUCAUUUACUUUCACAUAUCUUAAAAUGACAGUAAAUUAAGCUACCGUUCGACAAUCAUUCAAAGUGUUUUUUCUUUUUUCUUUUCUAAAGGAAAUUGAGUUUUAAAAUAGUAAGACCCUGUUUGGAUUGUAUUUGAGUUUUUAGUUCUAUUCCAGAAUCGUCGUUUAAUAUCCAAAGGUAAAAGCGGCAGUCUAGGUAAUGUAUUUGGGGAGGGACUUUCGCUGACUGAAUCCAUCCAUAAACCUACUAUUCUAUCACUCCUCGCCCGGCAUUUACUUGAGAGAAGCAAAUCGAUUAGAAGCUAAAGGACAAUCAAAGUUAGAUAGUUUACGAAGUCCCCUCACCAGCAUUUUCACUUUUCAAGUUUGAGACACUUUUUUUAAAAUUGCUAAAAAUGUGUUUUGAUUUGUCAUUUUCAAUUUUUUUUCUCAAAAUAGAAAACUAGAAAAUGCAAUUAGUUUGAAAUAAAAAAAUUAUUUCAUGAUAUUUUAUUCUAUGAAAUUUGAUUAUUCAAUAAAAA